rnacentral:lncRNA from 1 species
UAGAUAUUAUGGAACAUGAAUGAGGUAUGGCCUAUGGAGAGUCUUUGGGAUAUAUUUUUGGCCAAAGAAAGUGAAGGAUUUGAAUUUUAAAUGAAGCUCAAAGAUGGGAAGUUGAGCAGAUUUCAGCAUAGAAGCUGAAAUAUUCUUAAGUAUGAAAAUUUGUGAAAGUAAGUAAGUUUGAAAUUUGUUUCUGAAAACCUUUCCAUAUAAACCUUGAAGGGUUUUUGAGCUCAAAUGGUAUAUGAGGAUCAAGGAAUGUAUGGAAGGUGUUGUUGGACAAGGAUAAGAAGGAAUUGGAAUUUUUCUAAGGGCCCAAAGAUUGAAACUGUAUGCUAUCAGGAAUUUUGUUUAAGUCCCAGAAAAACAGUGUUGUUUAGCAGUUUUUGGUGCAAAUUCCUGAGAAACUUAGUGUGAAAGAUAUAUAAGACUAUGUGUAAUGUCCAAG